rnacentral:rRNA from 1 species
CGUAGGGUGCAAGCGUUGUCCGGAAUUAUUGGGCGUAAAGAGCUCGUAGGCGGUUUGUUGCGUCGGCUGUGAAAUCCCGAGGCUCAACCUCGGGUCUGCAGUCGAUACGAGCAAACUAGAGUGUUGCAGGGGAGACUGGAAUUCCUGGUGUAGCGGUGAAAUGCGCAGAUAUCAGGAGGAACACCGGUGGCGAAGGCGGGUCUCUGGGCAACAACUGACGCUGAGGAGCGAAAGCGUGGGGAGCGAACAGGAUUAGAUACCCUGGUAGUCCACGCCGUAAACGUUGGGCGCUAGGUGUGGGGCUCAUUCCACGAGUUCCGUGCCGCAGCUAACGCAUUAAGCGCCCCGCCUGGGGAGUACGGCCGCAAGGCUA